rnacentral:rRNA from 1 species
AUUGAACGCUGGCGGCGUGCCUAACACAUGCAAGUCGAGCGGUAACAGGUCGUAGGCAAUACAUGCUGACGGAGCGGCGAACGGGUGAGUAAUGCUUCGGAAUCUGGCCCAGUGUAGUGGGGAAUAACCAGCCGAAAGGUUGGCUAAUACCGCAUACGACCCUUGUCCACAAGGCAAAGGUGAAAGCAGGGGAUCGCAAGACCUUGCGCUAUUGGAUGAGCCGAAGUCGGAUUAGCUAGUUGGUAGGGUAACGGCCUACCAAGGCGACGAUCCGUAGCUGGUCUGAGAGGACGACCAGCCACACUGGGACUGGAGACACGGCCCAGACUCCUACGGGAGG